UUCAACAUAAACCAACAUAUUCACCGCCUUAUCCCUGCUAUCCAAGUCUUUACCCUGUCUACAAUACCAAUAUCUCCCACCCCCGACCUCGCCUAAAUUACGCCAAAUCGCCCACAAUCCCUUUUCCAAUAUCUCAACCAAAUCUUCAACAAACUCGUCCUCGACUUCCUUACAACCAGAGAUUUUCCCCACCAAACGGACCCACCUAUAACUAUCCCCAACCCACUGAAACCUACAAUCAAAGCCGUACCCGAACCUUCACCAACCUAGGCAGGCCUUUGGACCGAGUGUAUGAGCAGUUAAGGAAUGCGGUAAAAUAGGUGUGAUUCCCCCUCCAACUUACCUUUAUGGCAUGCCUGCCGGAUACAAUCCACAGUCCACUUGUGCCUAUCAUUCGGGAGCACCUGGCCACUCAACCGCUGAUUGUAAAGCCCUUAAGCACAAAGUCCAAGACAUGAUCGAGGCAGGGGAAAUAGUACUAAGGAAAAAGGGUGAACAAAGACCGAGCAUAAGUACAAAUCCUUUUCCUGAACACAAAGACACCUUUGAGGCAUCCACCUCCAAUGAAGAAAUUUGAAAAUCUUGAAGGAGUUUUGCACAAUUGGACUGCCGAGUGUCUUCCCUCUCGAAGGGAAUUUCGAUAAAAUUUGGGGGUUGUCAUUUGCUAAAAUUCAUAAAAAUUGUCACUGGUUUUGUGUAAAUAGUUUUGGUUAAAACAAUUUUCGCAUUAUCAAGCUCCUGUGUUGCUUUUUGAAUUUUUCAACGGAGUGCAUAGUUACAUCUUUUCAUUAUUCUUGUU
rnacentral:lncRNA from 1 species